GUGCUCAUUUCAGCAGCACAUUUCCAAAAUUGGAACAAUACAGAUAAGAUUAGCAUGGCCUCUGCACAAGAAUCCAUACAAAUUCGUGAAGCGUUCCCUAUUUUG
rnacentral:snRNA from 1 species